ACGCACUAAAAAUAUAUGAGCAAAGAGUAAAAUUUUAAUAAUUUUUUACUCUCUGUCUGUAAUCUUUCACAACCUUUUACCAAAGCCACCCACAACUGUAGAAACUGGAAGAGACUUACUACAACAUUACAUCUGGAGCCAGACUGAAAGAAAAGCCGGCCUGUAGUUACGUUGAGUACAGAAGAAGUAUAGGAGAAGAAGAUGUGCAAGGAGAUGACUAUCGUAU
rnacentral:misc_RNA from 1 species